CCUGGCCUGAGCUCCAGUACUACUGACUUCUCAUUCUUGUUUUCCUGGGCUCCCGGCUGACUUUAGGAACUUUUUUUGAGGGUUUUCUUUGGGGGGGAGGGCAGAGAUAUCUUUGCAGACCUGAGUCUUUUCAGAAAGAAUUGAGCUGCUUCGGUCGCAUUGCUAAUUAUUUCAAUUCAAAUGGGAAAAACUCUGUGAAAAUUCGAGCCCAGGACAUAGCGCAUAACAGGUAUCCAACAAAAGCUGGAUUCGAAUGAACUGGACUCCCUUGUUUCUGAGGUCACUUAAAUGGAGUUUAACUGUGAACCGAAAGAAUUUCGUUUUGCCUCUAAGUGAUUACUGCAGGGCUGUGGUUUGCUGAGUGGGCGCAAGACAGAACAAUGUAUAUGUGAAGAAACAACCUGUACCUUUUAUUCUUUUCCCACAGACAUUUCUUUGCUGUAGUUACAUCUAACUGUACCAUCUAUCUAUUGCCUUUAUCCAGCCUGUUUCUACAGAUGUCUGAAUCAAAAGAUCACGGAAUUUUAGUGUUGGGAAGAACAACAGCCAUGUAGACCAACCCAUAUCUGAAAAGGAAUCCCUGCUACAACAUGCUGGACAAACAGGCAUCCAUCCUCUGUUUGAAAAGAGUUAUCGUGCUGCACUGAGUCUUUGCCUCUCCCCGAUAAACAUCCCUAAUCCCUUUAACAACUCCUCA